AUGUCCAUUGUCCCGCACACCAUUCUGCGCCCGUUCGGCGUGAACCCGUGCGGCGGCGGCGGCGGCUAUCUGAGGCGGCACGCACGGACGUGCCUCCGCCGUGCGAGCCCCGUCGGUGCAACGAACGGGAAUGAGCCGGGCGGUAGCAAGAAGAGGAGUAGGAAGAGGCCGGCGGAGGAGUCGCGGUUGGAGGUCCUUUAUGAUGACGGGUUCGGGAGCGUCACCAUGAAGGAUUACCGGGAGGCGGUGAGGGCCAUGCCCAGGGACGACGGCGGGCCGCCGCGGUGGUUCUGCCCCGUGGAGUGCGGCCGGCCGGAGGUCGACAGGGCGCCGCUGCUGCUCUUCUUGCCAGGAGUCGAUGGUGUUGGAAUGGAGCUCAUUCUGCACCACAAAUCACUGGGCAAAGUAUUUGAGGUUUGCUGCUUUCAUAUACCAGUAAAUGCCCGCACACCAUUUGAAGGUUUAUUACAAAUUGUGGAAGAAUAUGUCAAACAUGAGAAUGCUUUGUCGCCAAGCAGACCAAUAUAUAUAAUUGGGGAUUCUUUUGGUGGAUGUCUUGCAAUUUCAGUGGCAGCUCGCAAUCCAGAAAUCGACUUGGUUCUUACACUAGUAAAUCCAGCAACAUCAUCUGCAAAAGCUUCGUUGCAGGCAGUAUUGCCUCUUUUGGAAGCAGUGGCGAGCAACCUUCCAUUUAUACAUCCUCACCUUCUCAAAUAUUCAAUGGAAGCAUGCAAGGCGGCGCACGCAGCAAGCAUUUCAUGA
rnacentral:rRNA from 1 species